rnacentral:rRNA from 1 species
UAAGGGCGCACGGUGGAUGCCUUGGCACUAGAAGCCGAUGAAGGACGUUACUAACGACGAUAUGCUUUGGGGAGCUGUAAGUAAGCUUUGAUCCAGAGAUUUCCGAAUGGGGAAACCCAGCAUGAGUUAUGUCAUGUUAUCGAUAUGUGAAUACAUAGCAUAUCAGAAGGCACACCCGGAGAACUGAAACAUCUUAGUACCCGGAGGAAGAGAAAGAAAAUUCGAUUCCCUUAGUAGCGGCGAGCGAAACGGGAAGAGCCCAAACCAACAAGCUUGCUUGUUGGGGUUGUAGGACACUCUAUACGGAGUUACAAAGGACGACAUUAGACGAAUCAUCUGGAAAGAUGAAUCAAAGAAGGUAAUAAUCCUGUAGUCGAAAAUGUUGUCUCUCUUGAGUGGAUCCUGAGUACGACGGAGCACGUGAAAUUCCGUCGGAAUCUGGGAGGACCAUCUCCUAAGGCUAAAUACUCUCUAGUGACCGAUAGUGAACCAGUACCGUGAGGGAAAGGUGAAAAGCACCCCGGAAGGGGAGUGAAAUAGAACCUGAAACCGUGUGCUUACAAGUAGUCAGAGCCCGUUAAUG